GCCAUCGCUCUUCAGUACUGCCUGGAUAGUGUUACUAGAGUGAAGUGUGAGGAACUCAUAAAAAAUGCAGCAGCUUAUGGGUGGGUGAAAGCCUGCUGUGGCACCCUCUCACACUCCCUGAAGGGCACCUUUCAUCUGGAGAGUAAAGAGAGUGCCUCCCCCCAGAACCGAGAAAGUGGCCGAGCAGCUUGGAUCUCCUCCAGCAUAUUCAGGCCAAAAAACGGUGCAGUGUCCCAGUGUUCAUUGAGGAAACCAAAUGCGCACACACAGCAGCACCCAGGCGACCCGCCUCCGAGGCCGGGUCUGCAGGUGCAAGCUCCAAUUAGAGCAGCCGGCUUCCAAUACCUUUUCAUCCGGAACAACGGCUGGGACUCAGCCCCCGCCAGGGACUGAGGAAAACCCCGGAAGGACUGCCGACCAGCCCAGGGAAAACAAAGACCGUCCAAAUAAAAGCAGAUCCUGUGAGUCGAACCUGAAACCCUAGCUUUGUUGUCAAAACCUCUUGUGAGAAUCAGCCACUGCACAAUUUUGUGGAAAAUCAGUCACUGGUGACAAGGAAACAAACUGCUUUCUCAGACCCUCUGCUUCUUCCCUAAGUUAUGGGGGGCGGAGGGGCGUUUUCUUGUACAAACCAGCGAGACGCAGCAUUUCUGCAAUGGCACAGUCUCGUUGGUUGUUUCCUCCACUGCCAACAGUUCCCCCUAAACUGUGUUUUUCAGGGUUACAGAUGCAGGUGGUCUCUCUGUAAACUGGUGCUUCUUUAUCAUUAAUAUCACAUCAAGGCUUAAAAAAAUCACUUGUGGCCUUUAUUUUUAGCAAAGAAUGUGUUUGACGUGCUUGCCAAUGCUCUGUCUUCAGCAGAAAAACACUAUAGACUCAUUUUCUCCCCUCCUCCUACUCCUCUCUCCCCUCAUGUUUCUUUCAUUGACUUCUUAAAGAGAAGGCUAGAAAGGUG
rnacentral:lncRNA from 1 species